UACGUAUGGUGCAAGCGUUAUCCGGAUUUACUGGGUGUAAAGGGAGCGCAGGCGGCACGGCAAGCCUGAUGUGAAAGCCCGCGGCCCAACCGCGGGACUGCAUUGGGAACUACCGGGCUGGAGUGCCGGAGAGGUAGGCGGAAUUCCUAGUGUAGCGGUGUAAUGCGUAGAUAUUAGGAGGAACACCAGUGGCGAAGGCGGCCUACUGGACGGUGACUGACGCUGAGGCUCGAAAGCGUGGGGAGCAAACAGG
rnacentral:rRNA from 1 species